CUUCCCGUCCUCCCCACCCCGGGGACACGCUUCUAGUAGGCCAAACUCCCAGGUGACCCCCGCAAGAAACGCGGUCCGGAGAGGGUCUGGCCCCACUGCUGGGGCAAGGGCUCUAGGCGCCCGGACCCCACGCCCGCAGCCUGCGGAGAACGUGCCGACAAGGACCUGUAGGGCCCCACUCCCCCUCCUCCCUCCCUCGGCGCAGCCCGGCCCAGGGGUCUGUCCUCCCAGGCCCAGGAAAGGAGGAAACCCACUUCCGCCGCGUCCAUGAUCUCCCGCGGCUUCUCCUGACUCUUGCGGCUGGCGCUGGCGCUGGGCAUCGGGACACGGAACUGGGCAGUGGACACCACCCUCCCUCGCAGGCUUCCUAGGAAGUUGGGGAAAGAGGAGAGUCCAGGUUUGGUUGAUCCAUGC
rnacentral:lncRNA from 10 species